UGAUCAGAAAAAAGAGAAGCUCUCAUCAAUCUGCUGAUCCUGGGGACAGACUUGACCACAGUGAGCAGCGUCGACACAAUCAGUCUGGGGAAAACUGUGACCUUAACUAUGCCAGUGUCCACUUCAUGAAGAGAGAGACGGAUCCCGUCCACUCCAACGUCAGAUCAGCUGAACCCAGCGAACACAAGGAGGCGGAGGAGGUUACGUACGCUUCUGUCAACUUUAACAGAUCUGCCCGGAGAACCAGAGGUCAGGACACUGGAGAGGAUCCAACUGCAUUGUACAGCACAGUCCAAAAACGUCGUGCUGUUUAGACCAACGUCUGGAAAUCACCUGAGUCCCAAUGGAAAUAUCUCAACAGCUGCAGGAUGGAUUUGAAUAGAAGUUCAUUUAACUGUUCAUGGUCCCCACAGGAUUAAUCCUUCUUUGGUGACAGACUCCAGCAUCAUUGUUGAAGUGAAUGUUCAGUUUUAAGUGACUUGUCUUGACAGCUCAUGGAUAAAUUGCCCCGAGGAUGAAUCCAAACGACUUCGGUGACUCGACUUUUAUCUGAAAUAUAUCAGCAACUUGUAGAAGUUGUUAAAAACGCCACAUUUAGCUUGAAUGAAAAAUAUCAACAUUCUAUAACUUGCAGCUUCAAACAUGAAAAUAUCUGCGGUGUGAGUCAGAUGGUCGACAAACUGUUGACUUGUAAUUAACUUUUUUCUAUUCAUAAAAUUAUCAAAACAAGCAUUAUUAGUUAGUUGUGGUGUGACACUGCUGCCACUAGAUGGUAGUAAAGAGUUUUACUGAUAAAACCACAGAGAGGAUUCUGUCCCUUUCACUUCUUUCUGUUUCUACACUAUUGUUUCUAUCGUUUCCAUCAUCAGCCGAUCAGGAGUUGUACUCGUUUCCUCUGAGGACUGGAGGGAGCACGUCUCAUGUGGAUGUGAGCUGCAACUGACGUGAUGAACGCCUUGAAUGUGACCGUUAACACAAAGUGAACUGCUGACACCAGAUGAGCUGUGUUGCCUCUGGUGUCUGUUCAAAGUUUGCAUCAGGCCCAUUGAUGUCACUUUAGUGUUUUGUGGUGUUUCUCACAUCACGUGUUAAACAGGUGAAGAAGAAGGAGUUAGGUGUGUUUUAAUCCACAAUGUUCACAUGGCGGCCAUUUUCCUCUGACGCCUCUCUCAGGGUGUGAAGCUCGAAUGUUGUUACGAACAGAAUAAAGCUGUACUGCUGUGAUCCAGGUUUAUAAGUUAUAAAAAAAAGAUAAUAUUUUAUUACUUAUUCAUUAGG